CUAUCCCACGCUCACAUCCUGGGGGCCAGCUCACCUACAUCUCCACCAACGGGAUCAGCUCUACUGUGCUGCCCAGGCGAGGAGCAGGAUAUGAUUUCUUGAAUUCUGUAGCAGGUGACUCAACUUAUGAUUUUCUGGAGAGAGGAAAUUCUUGUCUAAGCCACAGACCAUACUGGAGCAUGAAAGGCAUGAACAGUUGACAGCAAAACCCCGAGACAGUCAAGAAUGAUCUUGUUAUCGAACAGAUCCAAAGGAGGAAUGAAUGACCAAUGUCCUGAAGUAGUGUGCCAUGGAAACUUCUGCAUCUUGGAGGCUGCAGACAAGGAUCAAAAUAUGCAUAUUUCAACCAGCAGAGAAUUGGCUCUGAGCCUGAUGAGGCUGAUAGAGAUUUUACAGCAAUUCCAAAGUACUGACUUGGAAGCCCUCUACUCAGUAGGAUCUGUGGUACCAGAGCAAAAAUAAAGACAAGAAGGUCAACAAACCCAACAACACAAGAAUGGUUAUGAUAGUUACCUUAGAAAGCCAAUUUUAGAAGCAAGGACUAUACAACUCCACAGGACAACAGGGCUGUAUAUGGCUGCUUUCUGCUGUGGACAAGCAGCUGUUUCCAAGUUACUUCUCUCCAUUCAGCAAAGUGUUCAACAAUGUUACAUGCCUAUUCACUCUGUUAACUGUGGUAUGUAAGUCUGGGAUUUUCUUCCUACCCUGUCAUUACUGUGACUCUAUCCAGAAUGGCUUCUAGUUAUUUCUUUAGCUAUGGCAGCAUCAGAGUUCCCUUUCCUUCUUGUACUACCAGAAGAAGGUGAAAACUUCAGACUCGGUGAAUCACUUUAUUGGAACCUGGAAUUUUAUAAUUUCUGCUCCAAUUGGAAUAGAAGUACAUUCAUUUGCCUGGAUGCUUUUGGUUCUCAGGUCAAUUUGGGCUGAUUUUAAGCAAUGGUGUUAAUUACUUCUAGCAAGCAUUAAAACUGGAGUCUGUAUUUUUUUUAAGGAUUCACUAAUUUUCACCAUUCACAGGAACCCUUUUGGGUUUUCUGAGUUUAAUGUAUACUUUUUUUUUUUGUUUUUAUUGAGACAAGUUUCUGUGAGUAGCCCUAGCCAUCCUUAAACUCACAUUACAGACCAGGCUGGCCUCAAACUCAGAUGUAAAGGACACCUUUAGGGCAAUUUGGCAACUGUCGACAUUCUUUAAUUCCUAUAGACUGCCGCUUUCACCAC